GACGAACGCUGGCGGCGUGCUUAACACAUGCAAGUCGAACGAUGAAGCUAGAGCUUGCUCUGGUGGAUUAGUGGCGAACGGGUGAGUAACACGUGAGUAACCUGCCCCGAACUCUGGGAUAACUGCUGGAAACGGUAGCUAAUACCGGAUAUGAUCAAUGAAGGCAUCUUCUGUUGGUGGAAAGAAUUUCGGUUCGGGAUGGACUCGCGGCCUAUCAGCUUGUUGGUGAGGUAACGGCUCACCAAGGCGACGACGGGUAGCCGGCCUGAGAGGGUGAUCGGCCACACUGGGACUGAGACACGGCCCAGACUCCUACGGGAGGCAGCAGUGGGGAAUAUUGCACAAUGGGCGCAAGCCUGAUGCAGCAACGCCGCGUGAGGGACGACGGCCUUCGGGUUGUAAACCUCUUUUAGUAGGGAAGAAGCGAAAGCGACGGUACCUGCAGAAAAAGCACCGGCUAACUACGUGCCAGCAGCCGCCGUAA
rnacentral:rRNA from 1 species